AUGGAGCAGGUACCCAGGGCUCGGGAGACACUGGAGUCAGGAUGCUGGGGUUCUGGGGAGGCUCCGAGAUGGGGGUUCUGGGUCCCCCACCUGUGGCUCAUUCUGUCCAGGCUCUGGAGGAGGUGUCGAAACCCCGGGUGUGCAUCUCACUCCUGCCCAAGUCUCUGUCCCCCCCAGUCUGCAGUCCCUUCCUCUGUCACCUCCAUCUCCAUCUCUCCCCCAGGAUUUGGGAACGGGCUGGGAGCCCAGUCAGGCUCUGCAGCUGAAAAUGGCUACGGACCAGGCUUUGCAGCAGGCCUGAAACCCCAGAAGCCAGGAUUCGGGACCAGCAACGGACUGGGAGCCCAGCCAGGUCUGGGAGGGGGUUUGAAGCCGCAGAAGCCAGGUCCCUGCAGUGGUAGGGUCCCUCCACUGCUUCUUGCCAGGCCUCCCACUCCGGGGGUCCCUUCUGAGAAAGAGGGUGGCUGGGGCCUGAAAUCCCAGCCCCCUCCCCCAGUGCAGGACGGCAAUUUCCCAGUACCUUCUCCAGCCAUCCAGUGGGGACCGAAGCCUCCGAAAGCGGGGUACCAGCCUGCGCUCGGCUACAGACCAGGAGUGGAACUGGGCUUCAGCGGUGGCUUUAAGCCCCAGAAAGUCGGUUUUGGUUACAGGAAUGGUGCUCUGGGAGCUGGGCUCUUCCUGGAAGCCCGCCCACAGCCAGGGUUCCCUGGGGCUGAUGGCUUUAGGAAUGGGUUCAGGGGGGAGGAAGCACUGGUGCACCCCGAAGUGGCAGCUCCAGCCCCUGAAGGAAAUGGUCAGGCCAGGGCCCUGAGGGGCUCUCCCUGGCCCUCCCUGCACUCCUGGGGGGCUGCCCUGAAGGCCAGAUAUGGAGCUGGAAAUGCACUUCCAGAGGUCCAGAGCCAGCCAGGACGCUGCCCUCUCGGGAAGUGCUGAGCUCCGCUGAGAUCCACGGCCUGUCCUGAAGGCCUGUGUUGGAGCCUGGUCAGCUAGGCAAGACUGGCCGUACCCUGGGGCUCAGUCUCUGGCCUGGGGGCUCCCGUGGCUGGAAGUGUCAAUAAAGGCAGUGAGCUUCCCUGUCUGUCCCUGUGU
rnacentral:lncRNA from 1 species